AAACCAACAGGGAUUACNUUAGUAACGGCGAGUGAAGCGGUAAAUGCUCAAAUUUGAAAGCUGCCAACAGGCCGCGUUGUAAUUUGUAGAAGAUGCUUUGGGUGUCGGCCCAGUCUAAGUUCCUUGGAACAGGACGUCAUAGAGGGUGAGAAUCCCGUAUGUGAUUGGUGCCGUCCCCCGUGUAAAGCUCUUUCGACGAGUCGAGUUGUUUGGGAAUGCAGCUCAAAAUGGGUGGUAAAUUUCAUCUAAAGCUAAAUAUUGGCCAGAGACCGAUAGCGCACAAGUAGAGUGAUCGAAAGAUGAAAAGCACUUUGGAAAGAGAGUUAAACAGUACGUGAAAUUGUUGAAAGGGAAGCGCUUGCAAUCAGACUUGCAGGCGGUCGAUCAUCCGAGGUUCUCCCCGGUGCACUCGAUCGUCUUCAGGCCAGCAUCGGUUUCCGUGGUGGGAUAAAGGCUGUGAGAACGUAGCUCUUCGGAGUGUUAUAGCUCACGGUGCAAUGCCGCCUACGGGGACCGAGGACCGCGCUUCGGCUAGGAUGCUGGCGUAAUGGUUGUAAGCGAC
rnacentral:rRNA from 1 species